GGGCCCAUGGCGCAGUUGGUAGCGCGCUUCGUUCGCAAUGAAGAGGUCGGGGGUUCGAAUCCCCCUGGGUCCACAA
rnacentral:tRNA from 1 species